rnacentral:tRNA from 1 species
AUAGCUCAAGGGUGGAGCAAAUGCCUGGCAUGCAUGAGGUCCUAGGUUCAAUCCCCAGU